rnacentral:lncRNA from 1 species
UUAUAACUAAUGUUAACAUCCUAACAUGUCUAAAUUAGUUAAAUGAAGCUAGGAAACUAGUCAAAAUGAUAGAAUUACCUCAAACUCAAAGUUUGAGGAUUUAGAACNUAAAAAGUGUGCUUAAAGGGUGAAAAAUUGCAAAUAGACCUAAUGUAGACUAAUUAUAACUAAUGUGAACAUCCUAACAUGUCUAAAGUAGUGAAAUNAAGCUANGAAACUUGACAAAAGCAAAGAAUUACCUAAAACUCAAAGUUUGAGUACUUAGAACCUAAAAAGUGUAUUUAAAGGGUGAGAAAUUGCAACUAGACCUAAUGUACACUAUUUUUAAGUAAUGUCAACAGCCUAACAAGUCUAAAUUAGUCAAAUAAAGCUAGGAAAGUAGUCAAAAGCAAUGAAUUCCAUAAAGUUCUAAUACCUAAUGUGUGGUAUUCGCCACAGUACUGG